rnacentral:rRNA from 1 species
UACAACUUUCAGCAACGGAUCUCUUGGCUCUCGCAUCGAUGAAGAACGCAGCGAAUCGCGAUAAGUAAUGUGAAUUGCAGAUUUCCAGUGAAUCAUCGAAUCUUUGAACGCACCUUGCGCUCUCUGGUAUUCCGGAGAGCAUGCCUGUUUGAGUGUCAU